GCUUGCUUCAGCAAUGCGUAUACUAAAAUUGGAAGGAUGCAGAGAUGAUUAGCAUGGCCCCUGCGCAAGGAUGACACGUAAGUUCAAGAAGCAUUCCAAAUUUAA